UCAAUGUUUCACUUGGAACCUUCUCAGAGCAAUAUUUGGGGUCACCUGGCCCUGGACAGAUAAAGUGAUGACCAACAUUCCCAGCAGUUUUCACGAGAUUCCAGGAUUGUUAUGGAGAUAUUCCUGAACUUGAGUCAACGCCACAUAAUGAUCUCCAAGUAGGUUAAAAUACUUUUUAUUAUCUCCUUCAGAUAUUUCAUCAAACCUCAAUCCAUUAUUGUUAUCUUGAGUCUGCAGGGACCUUGGCUGAGCACCUGCAAACAAAGCCCAGAUUUGUUUUUUCUCUCUGUUAAUCAGCCUCCAGGCUUGAAAUAGGUUUGCAGCUGCAAGACCAGGAUGUGUUUGAGGAACUGGAGAGCAGCACCUUCUCUCUGAGCACAGAAACACUCCAGCAGCUUCAGACCAGCUCAGGAGCUGCUCUGCUUCAGCCCAGGGGAAUGCAAGUUCCAGGAAAAUGCAAAAGGCUGGGAGACAAGUCCUAUAAAACCUGCUUUAAACUGCCUCCAGGAACGUGGAGGUGAGGAACCAGAGGAGUAGUACCAGCAGGGACAGAAAAUCCAGGAUUUUACCAGCUGCUUUCCAACAUCAUUCCACAAAUCCCACCCCUACAGAAGAGGCCAUAGGGAGAACCAGAUGAAUCCCAGAAACAAUCCCAAAAGGAGAAAAGCUGAAUUCAGCAAGAAAUUCCCACAGUAGCAUUACUUCUCUGGCCUCUUUCUGAAUCCAAAGCUCUUCUGGAAGGGUCCCUCCAUUAGUGCCAUUCCUGGAAGAUUAAAACCCUUGGGAGCACAGGACAGGUCCCCAACCCUCAGCCAACCCUGACCUGCACCAGGUGGCACCAGGACAGAGCAGUACAACACCAGGACAAUCUGCUUUAAAAGUGCCCAAAUAAAACCCAAAAAAGCAAAGAUUCCACGAUUUAAAUGAGAAAACA